UACGUAGGGUGCGAGCGUUAAUCGGAAUUACUGGGCGUAAAGCGUGCGCAGGCGGUUCGUUGUGUCGGCGGUGAAAGCCCCGGGCUUAACCUGGGAAAGGCCGGUGAAACUGGCGAACUGGAGUGUGGCAGAGGGGGGUGGAAUUCCGCGUGUAGCAGUGAAAUGCGCAGAUAUCAGGAGGAACACCGGUGGCGAAGGCGGGUCUCUGGGCAACUACUGACGCUGAGGAGCGAAAGCGUGGGGAGCGAACAGG
rnacentral:rRNA from 1 species